rnacentral:lncRNA from 1 species
UGCACAGAACUCCAGCAGUCCUUUUAUCUGUUCUUGUUAAAGCAGUUAUAAUGUUAUUUACCGCGGUUGAGUUGAGUAAGGAGCGCUGCUGUAUGGAAGAUGCCCCAGAAAUAUGGGCUAGAGCUGCUGCCAGGGCAUCAACUGCCCCUUUCUCCUCUAUGAGCUCUCGAGCUGACUGCCUGAAGUAGUCUAUUGCAGAAGGAGGAACGGCAUCUAAACACUUCUUAGCAUCAUCACUGGAAGCUUUAAUUAUAUCUGUAGCAGAUGGAACACCGAUACGCCUAAACGUAAUUCCCGCUUUCUGCUCAACCUGCUUCAGAAGGUCUUCUUCCUUCCUCUGAUAGAAACAAAUACAGAUCCCUGUCCGGCCAGCUCGACCCGUGCGUCCAGAACGAUGGAUGUAGGAAUCGACGUCUUUUGGUGGUGAGCAUUGUAUAACCAGGUCAACUUCAGGAAUAUCCAAGCCACGGGCAGCUACAUUGGUUGCAAUCAGAACCUCAAACACACCAUUUCUAAAGCCUUUUAGUGUAACUUCUCUCUGCUUCUGUGGAAUGUCACCAUGCAAUGACUGGGCUUCCUGUUUGAGCGCAGAAUUCAAAGCCAACUCAUUUGCUUCCUUUUUUGUCUCACAGAAGACAAUCGUCCUCCCAUGGCUUCCACUGUAGACCUGAAU